GACCUGCAAAAGAAACGCGUAACGCCGCUGUGAUUAAUUGUGUUCGACUCGAUUGCACAACUGUUGCUCGCUCGAAGGGGAACGCGUGUAAGCCGAGGAUCGAAAGCUUGCCUUCCAUCGUUAAUGGAACGUUUUUCAUUGAAAGGUGGUGAUGGGCCUCUGAUGAUGGAAUUAGAACCAGGUGCAAUAAUAAUGGAGUAGCUGUGAAGAUAGAUAAUUUUAUGAAAUGAAGAGUCAUCAAUACGUUAAGGUAUUUAAUCACCCUUUACGCUUUUCAACAAAAUUUUUAUAAAUCAACAGGAAGCUCUUAGUAUAAAAAUGAAUGAAAUUGAAAGGUACAGUUCUCUAUUUCAUAGGAGUAGAGAGAAAAAAUUAGGAGAUUGCGAAAUACAUUUUACAGAAAUUCAAAGCCCUCCAUUCGACUAAACAUCUGAAAAUCUCGCAGCUCUCGGUGAAUUUAUAAAUCCAUCGAGGAGUAGAUCGAAGAAGUCCCAGUAUGGACUGCAAAAGGGUACCGUUAACGUUUCCCGACACCGUAUCAGGAAUAUCGAAUCUCUUGUCGUCGAAGGGAACGCGCUUUCAAGCCGUGAGUUUCUCGAAACUGCCGCUCGAAAAUGUACGCUUCUUGUCGUCGUCGUUUCUCCUCCCUCGACAACCACCACCGAAGCCCGUAUUAUUUAAUGGGAACCCACGGCCUGCCAGUCUGCCGGCAAGGCGAUGAAUAUUGCGCAUUGUAGUGGUCGCGAUAAAAUCGAAGGAGAAUGCGGAAAAACUGCGCGUUUCCAUCUAUUCGCGUUCCGCAAAUUCCGAACCGCAAUGCGGCCGGCUACGAGACGACGACGACGCACGAUAUGCGAGCAAGAAAUAAAAUUGAAUUUCACGAGGGGACGUCAAGGAAACGAUGUUACCGCUGCACGUCCUCCUACUUCUUCCUCCAACUCUUCUCGUCGCCUCUUUCUCGCCGUUCGUGGAACACGAGACAGCGAAUGCUCGUCGAACGAAAUUCGGUUUCCAGGUAAAUCCGCUUGUCCGAAAUCAAUCGCGACCACGUCGUGUUACAAGGCUCGCGAUAGAAAAUGACUUCCGCGAUUUUAACGGAUCCACGAUGGGAUUACGUUUCGAAGUUGGUUGGAAAAAGAAUUUCGAGAAUGCUUCAUCUAUCCGAGUCAUUUGAUAUCGUGAAAUUUUUUCAUGAGAUGAAAGGGGUAGAUUUUUCAUUUAUUUAAUAGAGAAACACUGGCACACCGGUUGAAGGUACAUUUUUUAGGAACUUAUAGUGUCCCCAUUUUUAUUAAAAACUUGAAUUUGAUAAUUAACCAGUCGUAUUGUUAAUUAUUAUUCAAGAUCUUCAGGUUCAAGUUCCUCUUGUCAGAGAGAUCCAAUUUUAAUUUAAUUUUGUAUUCAUAUUAUUUUCAUUUCCGCUGUUCAAAGGUUAUUAUCUGUCAAAAAUAGGGGUUGGAACAUUGCAAUCUUUAAAAUUGCGAUUUGUAUUCCAGCAAAUAAAUCGUUAUCUCCUGUUGAAUUACCCUUCUGUUCGGAUUGAAUACAUUUUCCGUAGGCACUCCCCGAUGUAACAAUAUCGCCAGUCACGAUUUGAACAGCAAGAAUUGCCAAAUAAAAGCAGGCAGAGAGACACGAGUUUACUAUCGGUAAUAUUGUAAAAUAAAUGCAAGUUGGGGAACAAAGAGGAGACGAGUAAAUGUAGAGAAGGAAGAAGAGAUACACGUUCGCAUCUCGACGAACAUUCUCGUCUCAUUCAUAAUUUCUACGGGAGACCCCCUGGGAUCUCGGCAUGCAGGAAUUCAUGAGUCCAUGCAGGAUUAACGGGAACGAAUAAGAGAGUGAGAUUCCGGGAGACGAUGAAUAGAAAGAAAGAGACAGAAUAGACUGAUAUUGCUACUGGAAUAUUUGUUGAAACUCUUACAGCGCGAAGCACUUCGCCUCAAAAGCGAAUAACGUAAUUUGCGAAGAGCUCGUCCCUCUUUUUUCCUCUUUCUCUUUCACUCUCUGUCUCUCUCCCUCGUUUUAGCUGGUAAAUUUUCUGUCAUCGCGUAGAAUUUUCUGAGAGCGAAUACAAUCUUUCCGAGAUAGAGUUUCCACGGAAAGAGAAACGAAUCUCCCGACGCGGAAAGGAAAAGCGCUCCUCCCAUUUCUCUCCCUCUUUCCAUCGUUCCUGUCGUUGCUCGUUGAAAAAGAAAACCAGGGGAAACCAUUUACUGGAAUCGUCCACCGAGGGAGAGAAAGAUCACGGUUCUCUCCUUUUUUCAUCGUUCCGCUCCCGAUCGACGCGAUUUCACCGGUUAAAUCGCGCGACUUUUGUUCGCGUUCUCAACCGUUAUCACACCUAUUAACGAAUUUCAGAGGUACUCGCAAUUCGGUAGGUUUGCAAUUAAUUAACACCUUGAUGGCCACGUUAAAAUUAUUAAGCAUACUAUGGGGUAAUUUUUAUAUUUCACCUUUCAAUUUCUUACCUCACAUUAUUAAUAAUUAAUUAUUCUAUUAAUAUGAAAUUUGGGGUGCCGACCACUGGUGCUUUAUUUAAAAUAAAUUUCGUUACCAAUUUCUCGCGUUGACAAUCAAACGAUAAUGAAAAAAAAAAAA